rnacentral:ribozyme from 1 species
UUUUUUUUUUUUUUUUUUUUUUUGAUUUUCAUUGCAACUAAAGGGAAGCACUUUCACAAGUCGCGAAGUUCGAUCGCGGAUUUAAACAUUA